rnacentral:rRNA from 1 species
CCAGGCUUGAAUGGUCCGCUGCUUGGAUCUCUUACUUUUACAAGGAGUCAGACCCGGUUAGUACUUGGAUGGGAGACCUCCAAGGAAAACACAGAUGCUAGCCUGCA